AGGUAAGCUACUAAGAGCGAAUGGUGGAUGCCUUGACUGGUAAAGGCGAUGAAGGACGUACUAGACUGCGAUAAGCUACGGGGAGCUGUCAAGAAGCUUUGAUCCGUAGAUUUCCGAAUGGGGCAACCCAAUGUAUAGAGAUAUACAUUACCUAUAUAGGAGCGAACGAGGGGAAUUGAAACAUCUUAGUACCCUCAGGAAAAGAAAUCAAUAGAGAUUGCGUCAGUAGCGGCGAGCGAAAGCGCAAGAGGGCAAACCCAGUGCUUGCACUGGGGGUUGUAGGACUGCAAUGUGCAAGAGGUAAGUUUAGCAGAACAUUCUGGAAAGUAUAACCAUAGAGGGUGAUAGUCCCGUAUGCGAAAAACAAACCUUAGCUAGCAGUAUCCUGAGUAGGGCGGGACACGAGGAAUCCUGUCUGAAUCCGGGUCGACCACGAUCCAACCCUAAAUACUAAUACCAGAUCGAUAGUGCACAAGUACCGUGAGGGAAAGGUGAAAAGAACUGAGGUGAUCAGAGUGAAAUAGAACCUGAAACCAUUUGCUUACAAUCAUUCAGAGCCCUAUGUAGCAAUACAGGGUGAUGGACUGCCUUUUGCAUAAUGAGCCUGCGAGUUGUGGUGUCUGGCAAGGUUAAGCAAACGCGAAGCCGUAGCGAAAGCGAGUCUGAAUAGGGCGCUUAGUCAGAUGCUGCAGACCCGAAACGAAGUGAUCUAUCCAUGAGCAAGUUGAAGCUAGUGUAAGAACUAGUGGAGGACUGAACCCAUAGGCGUUGAAAAGCCCCGGGAUGACUUGUGGAUAGGGGUGAAAGGCCAAUCAAACUUCGUGAUAGCUGGUUCUCUCCGAAAUAUAUUUAGGUAUAGCGUUGUGUCGUAAUAUAAGGGGGUAGAGCACUGAAUGGGCUAGGGCAUACACCAAUGUACCAAACCCUAUCAAACUCCGAAUACCUUAUAUGUAAUCACAGCAGUCAGGCGGCGAGUGAUAAAAUCCGUCGUCAAGAGGGAAACAACCCAGACUACCAGCUAAGGUCCCUAAAUCUUACUUAAGUGGAAAACGAUGUGAAGUUACUUAAACAACCAGGAGGUUGGCUUAGAAGCAGCCAUCCUUUAAAGAAAGCGUAAUAGCUCACUGGUCUAGUGAUUUUGCGCGGAAAAUAUAACGGGGCUAAAGUAAGUACCGAAGCUGUAGACUUAGUUUACUAAGUGGUAGGAGAGCGUUCUAUUUGCGUCGAAGGUAUACCGGUAAGGAGUGCUGGAGCGAAUAGAAGUGAGCAUGCAGGCAUGAGUAGCGAUAAUUAAUGUGAGAAUCAUUAACGCCGUAAACCCAAGGUUUCCUACGCGAUGCUCGUCAUCGUAGGGUUAGUCGGGUCCUAAGUCGAGUCCGAAAGGGGUAGACGAUGGCAAAUUGGUUAAUAUUCCAAUACCAACAUUAGUGUGCGAUGGAAGGACGCUUAGGGCUAAGGGGGCUAGCGGAUGGAAGUGCUAGUCUAAGGUCGUAGGAGGUUAUACAGGCAAAUCCGUAUAACAAUACUCCGAGAACUGAAAGGCUUUUUGAAGUCUUCGGAUGGAUAGAAGAACCCCUGAUGCCGUCGAGCCAAGAAAAGUUUCUAAGUUUAGCUAAUGUUGCCC
rnacentral:rRNA from 1 species